ACCAGCAGCCAUAUCACCCUGCAGCCCAAGACUGGUUGCCCACUGAAGCUAAGCAGGGUUGAGCCUGGUCAGUACCUGGAUGGGAGACCUCCUGGGAUAAAUUAGGUUGCUGCUGGAA
rnacentral:rRNA from 1 species